AGUGAACGCUGGCGGCAGGCCUAACACAUGCCAGUCGAACGGCAGCACAGUAAGAGCUUGCUCUUACGGGUGGCGAGUGGCGGACGGGGGAGGAAUACAUCGGAAUCUACUUUUUCGUGGGGGAUAACGUAGGGAAACUUACGCUAAUACCGCAUACGACCUACGGGGGAAAGCAGGGGAUCUUCGGACCUUGCGCGAUUGAAUGAGCCGAUGUCGGAUUAGCUAGUUGGCGGGGGAAAGGCCCACCAAGGCGACGAUCCGUAGCUGGUCAGAGAGGAUGAUCAGCCACACUGGAACUGAGACACGGUCCAGACUCCUACGGGAGGCAGCAGUGGGGAAUAUUGGACAAUGGGCGCAAGCCUGAUCCAGCCAUACCGCGUGGGUGAAGAAGGCCUUCGGGUUGUAAAGCCCUUUUGUUGGGAAAGAAAAGCAGCAGGUUAAUACCCCGCUGUUCUGACGGUACCCAAAGAAUAAGCACCGGCUAACUUCGUG
rnacentral:rRNA from 1 species